GUACUCUCACACUCUCUACUCCUUUGGGUUUGGGGAGCGGUGGACUUGGGUGCUUGCUGCUUUCCUUGUGGCUCACCUCAAAUGCGUCAGUGCAUCUCUUGAUUGGACAUAGUACGGCGUGAUAAGUGUCUUCGCCGGCACCUCGCGAGAGGGUGGCUGAUCGGGAGCUCUGUGCUUUCGAACCGUCCUUGGUGGACAAUGACUGACA
rnacentral:misc_RNA from 1 species